rnacentral:tRNA from 1 species
GGCUCGGUAGUUGGUAAAGCACUUGUCUUGCGAAUAAGGGUCGUGAGUUCAAAUCUCACCUGAGCUG